rnacentral:misc_RNA from 1 species
AACGCAAAUUGCACUCUUUGGUAUUCCGAAGAGUAUGCCUGUUUGAGGGUCAGUUAAAUAAAAAUCGGUGUUGUUGCUGCCUUUCGUGGUAACGCUUCGGAUUUGGGUCGUCUUACCUUCGGUUAAGUGACCUAAAAUUUUGCAUGAUUUUUCGAACGUAUUUAAAUUAUUUACGUACGUUUGUGAUAUCGAAUAUAUAUUAGAUGUGGUCAUUCUCAUGAUUCGCGUCUAUAAUUUUUCGUAAAAUGACCUCAAAUCAGGUAAGAGUACCCGCUGAACUUAA